AGAAAUGCAAGAAAGGAAACUGUGUUGGUCAUUUCUUCAAAGGGUGGAGACAGGGAGUGUGUGGUGAAGAUUCCCCACCUGGGGAUGGGAAGACAGGAUCCAUGCAAUCUCUCUGGCCCCAGAUCAUGGCUGCACCGUGCCGGCAGCAGAGCGAGCUCUCUUCCCUUUGUGCUUGUUGUUGCUUCAAACAGGACAUGACCUGCCUGGUUUGUUUUCAUUUCUUCCUCCUUCAGACAGCGCAUCCUGCCCGUAUCUGGAAGGAAAAUAAAGCAAAGGGGCGGAAACCGCUUCCCCACAUUGAGUGACCCGUCUCCGUCCCUGGGACAUGAAGAGUCUUCUAGAGGACGUCCUGGACGAAUGGAUGACCCAGUGGUGUGGAAUGGACUCAAGGAAACAAAAUGAGAGACCAAAAAUGAGAGACCAAAGUCCUCUUGUGGGAGAGUUUGUUGUAUGAUCAUCUUCUGGGCUUUGAAAAGGGGACAGGACAGAUGUAGCUGGCUCAGUUCAUCUUCAGUACUCCCUGACAUGAUGCCAGAAACUGGGGCAGCCUUUCCCAACCAGUCAUCCAACGAAGAUGAGAGAAACGUCAAGAACUUUCAACAAGACGUCAGCUCCGUGUUUUGUUAGCCUGUUACUAAAUACAGCAGCUGCUCACCUCUAGAAUUCCUGCUAUGUGUUAAAAGUGCUGGAAAUUAGGCUUUCUGCGAAUCGAAGCUGAAAGUGGUCCUAACUUUUUUUUUUCUUUUUUCCAACUGUCUGUCUGGCCCUGUGCCUGGUGUGGGCUGCUCUGAGUUCUCUCACUAGGUUGUCCUACAUCAAUUAUAGCUCUCAACUGUUUAUUUCUCUUUACCCUCUCUCUAUUGGCUGUAAAAUACUUGAAGACUUUCCUUGUGCUCAAUACAUGCUGUGUCUUACCAAGCACUUACAGAUAGAUAGUUCACAAGUUAAUAACAAGUUAAAAAUGAGUUAGUAAAUGCUUGUAGCCAACACCUUUCCUAAAUAAGAUAAAAAGGAGAGUCAGGGCCAUCUGCCCAGCUGCCACACUGUCCUCUGGGAGGCCCAUCUACUAAGGUUCUUUCUUUGGCAAGGGAGGCAACCACUUUCGUGAGCCCUUGGGGAAAAAGCAAAACAAAACAACAACAGCGACAGCAAAACACACCUUAUCCCUCCAGAACUCAGCUCACAAGCCUUUGUCUUCAGUGGUCUAGGGAGAUCUGAACUUUAUCUAUCAUUUGAGUCUUGCUUCCAAGGUUUGCUGAGGAUACACCCUCCAGUCCAUCAGCCCUGUUCAUCUUUCUUUUAAAGAACUCAGCUACAUGUGCCGCAGUGCAGAAGUCUGAACUCCCAGGGGUUGGUUUUCUGCUUCCACAUUUAAGUAGGUUCCAGGGGUUGAACUCAGGGUAGUGGGCUCUCAAAUUAAGUGCCUUGACUCACUGAGUAAUCAUCCAGCCAGAGAUUUAAUUCCAUAGUAACUCUGAGUUAAGACAGCCUAAAAGGGAAAACACAAAUGCACUCUUCCUCCAAGGCUUGUUUCCCUUUCUACUGUAUUCUAACAAGUGACGUUCUGGGGAAGGAGAAGAGACAACAGACUGAUGUUGGCAGUUCCAAGACCAUGAUGGUAUUCCUCCUCACUCAGAGAAAAGAAAUUUUAAAGUGAUGUAUGACUCCGGGGGCUUACCAUUGUCUCUGUGCCUCAGCUAUGGAGAAAGCCACCCAGGUAGACUCAGGCCACCUAUUUUAUGAUACCUUACAUUUACCUUGAAAAUCCCUUCUGUGACCCUCUCAGUGGAAAAUCUCCUGUUGUGGAAUCAAGACAUAUUCAAAUCUUCAUCCGGGGCAUGCAAAAAUCUUAAGUAGUUCUGCAGUUUCUGGUAAAUGUGUCAUGCAGUUUAUUUUUCACAAAGUGCCACAUGAAACACUUAAUUCAGUUUAACAACAAACUUUGGCUUCUAGUUAGUUUCUUGCGUGUGACUUCAGCAGGUUUGCUGGAGUUGGCUGUGGGUGUUUGGGAGGUGUGUUGGAUGCAUUACCAAUGCUUGUGCACAGAAAAUUAAGUGUUACAUUGCUUCUAUGCUGCUCCAUCACUCUGUGUAAAUCCCAACGGCAAACCAGCGUCUCUGCAAACUAUUCCUAGCAGAAUAUCCUCCCCGGUCCACAGUCUAGAAAGAACUUAAAACAGAUGAAGACCAAACACACAUUUUGGCUUUUGGCCUUCACUGUUUCAUGGCAUGGUUUUGAGCUCCUCUUUCCAAAAUAGAAAGUUUUCCUGCAAGGAUAUCCUUCUUUCUGAGAAGAGUGGUGGUACAUGCCUUUAAUCCCAGCUCUCAGGAUGUAGAGGCAGGCAGAUCUCUGUUGAGUUCAAGGCCAGUCUGGUCUACAGAGGGAGUUCCAGGACAGCCAGGGCUCCACAGAGAAACCCUGUCUGGAUAAUUAAAAGAAAAAAAACCCCUUCCUUCUGGGAGUAUGAGGAUGUCAGUGAGGACCAGGCUAUGCUGGCUUCAAAGAAGAUCAUGUGUAGAGUAGGACCAUGCACUUGUGAAUCUGUGUUUUGUGAGAGGCUACCAACCCUUCAGUAGAUGUCCCCUUACUUGGGCAUGUACAUGGACUGAAAUGGAACCAGUAAGCACUAAAUUUUGAGAAAGAUAACAAGAGAGCACAUGAGUUUGAGAGUGACAAAUGGUGGCAGAGGUGUGGAGCAAUGCGGAGGUAGGUUUAAUCCAAGCACACUGUGUGUAUGAAUUUCGACUAGAAUGCAUUUAAAGACUACUUUGCUUGGUGUCUGUGUUCAGGUUGGACAUUGCAGCCUGGUUGUGGUUGCGUGGGCUGCAGAUGGUCGGACUCUAGUUUUCUCCGUUCUCCACCUUGACUGAGUGGAGGUAAGCGGGAGUGUGGUCAGUGUUGCUUAGAGUGCAAAACUAGGGAGUAGGCUAGGUUUGCUUCAGAGUCAGCCCUGCUUUAACGUGUACAGUGUCAUGCAAUCAGUUACUAGUUACACAGUCGUACCUGAUUGCCCACUAAUAAAAAUAAAAGUUAAAGCGAGUUUGAGCCCUCUUGACCAUCUUUCCCCAGGUUUAAUUCAGUUCCAGGGCAACUGUCACCACUGAGGCCUGGUCUGAGGACCUUCAGAUACUUUUUAAACAUCAUGCUGUACAGAUGCUAGAGCUUAUGGGAUGCCACUCUGUUUUUCUUGGGUUGCUCUUCAUUUUGUUUAUUGAGGCAGGAUUUCUUCUUGAACUUGGAGCCCCUGACUCUAGCUAGUCUAAUAGUAUCCUAGCUUGCUUUAUAUUGCUGUCAGAAAACAUUGGUCAAAAGCAACUUGUGGGAGGAGAGGGUUUAUUUGAUUUACAGUCACACUCCAUCAUUGAAGGAAGUCAGGGCGGGACCUGGAGGUGGAGCUGGAGACGGGCCUGAAGCAGGUACCACAGAGAAAUGCUGCUUCCUGGAUUGAUCACCUUGCAUUCUUUUAUCAUCCAUGACCACCCACUCAGAAGCUGCAUGGCCAUACAGUGGUCCGCCCCCCCAUCAAUCAUUAAUUUAAAAAGUGCCCCCACAGAUUUGCCUGUAGGCCUAUCUGCAGCAAACAAAUUUUUUAAAUUGAAGUUUCUUCUUCCCAGAUGACCUUAGCUCGUGUCAAGUUAUAUUAACCAGCACCUCUAGCUAGCCAGCUUGUCCCAAGGAUCCCUCCCCUGUCUCUGUCUCCUGAGUGCUGGGAUUACAGGUGGCCACCAUGCUUGCUGGACCUUUAUAUGGGUUUUAGGGAUCCACACUUCAGUCCUCACACUUGGAGUCAACUUUAUCCACUGAGCCAUCUCCCCAGCCUUGACUUACUACAGCUGCUUAAUUCUUAUAAUAAUGAUAAGGGUUAUUUGCCGUUGGUGUUUCAUUUUAGGUACUUCGAAACUGAAGCUGAAGUCACAUAACUGGAUUUAACUGAAACAGCCUAAUUCUGAUUCCAAGUUCUUGGUAGACAAGGAUGCUUAUUUAUAUGAUUGUAUUCUGACACAACUAAUUUGUUUACCUUCAUGGUGCAACAAUUCUAUCCAUUUCACUAUUGGCCUCUUUGGGUACUGUGGGGAAAAUGAUAAUAAUGGCUGUCCAUCUAAACACUUGCACAGUUACAAGGCCUAUUUUGUAUGUAACAACAAUAAACCAAAUUCCCAUUUACUGAGUACCUUGCACAUGCUAGGUAUUGCUCUAGAAUAUUCUUCGCAUGAAUCUCUUAUUCCAUUCAAAACUCACAGUCAC